UACAGAGGGUGCGAGCGUUAAUCGGAAUUACUGGGCGUAAAGCGCGCGUAGGCGGCUUUGCAAGUCGGGGUGUGAAAUCCCCCAGGCUUAACCUGGGGAACUGCAUUAGAGACUGCAUUGCUAGAGUAUGGGGAGAGGGGAAGUGGAAUUUUCCGGUGUAGCGGUGAAAAUGCGCAGAUAUCGGGGAGGAAACACCGGUGGCGAAGGCGGUUCUCUGGGCCUUGCCUGACACUGAGGAGCGAAAGCCAGGGGAGCAAACGGG
rnacentral:rRNA from 1 species